rnacentral:rRNA from 1 species
UACGUAGGGGGCAAGCGUUGUCCGGAAUCAUUGGGCGUAAAGAGCUCGUAGGCGGCUAUUCAAGUCGAACGUGAAAUCUCGGAGCUCAACUCCGAAACUGCGUUCGAUACUGGGUAGCUAGAGUCUGGUAGGGGGAUCUGGAAUUCCUGGUGUAGCGGUGGAAUGCGCAGAUAUCAGGAGGAACACCGGUGGCGAAGGCGGGAUCCUGGGCCAGUACUGACGCUGAGGAGCGAAAGCGUGGGGAGCAAACAGG